GCGUUGACCUCGGAUCAGGUAGGGCUACCCGCUGAACUUAAGCAUAUCAAAA
rnacentral:rRNA from 1 species